GCCUUCGUAGCUCAGGGGAUAGAGCGUCGGUUUCCGGUACCGUAGGUCGGGGGUUCGAAUCCCUCCGAGGGCACCA
rnacentral:tRNA from 1 species